rnacentral:rRNA from 1 species
GGGACGUCAGCGGUAGCCGAAAGGAGUAGGGUAUGGUCAACAGUAUGCUAUUCCUGUACUUCCGAUAACCGUUUGAGGUAAUGAAUGAAACAGCAGUAUAAGCCAAGCACACUUUUGGUUAUGGGGGCCCAAGCAUUGAGGCAGGCAAAGUAGGCAAAUCCGCUUUGAUAAUGCUGGGAUGUGGUGGGGAGCGAAAUUUAGUAGCGAAGUAGCUGAUUUCACACUGUCAAGAAAAGUCUCUCUCGAGGUUCAAGGUACCCGUACCGCAAACCGACACAGGUGGGUGAGGAGAGUAUCCUACGGCCAGCGAGAGCACUGUAGGUAAGGAACUCGGCCAAAUGACCACGUAACGUCGGGAUAGGGGGUGACAUCACCAGGUGGCCGCAGAGAAUAGUCACAACCGACUGUUUACCAACAACAUAGGUUUCUGCUA